rnacentral:rRNA from 1 species
CCCUUAGAUGUUCUGGGCCGCACGCGCGCUACACUGACUGACUCAACGAGUGUACAACCUGCUUCGACAGAAGUGGGUAAUCUUUUGAAAUUCAGUCGUGAUGGGGCUAGAUUAUUGCAACUAUUAAUCUUCAACGAGGAAUGCCUAGUAAGCGCGAAUCAUCAGUUCGCGUUGAUUACGUCCCUGCCCUUUGUACACACCGCCCGUCGCUCCUACCGAUUGAAUGGUCCGGUGAAAUCUUCGGAUCUGAGAGAUGUCUGAUUAAUUUCGGACGCCUUUUGGAAAAGUUGCUUAAACCUUACCAUUUAGAGGAAGGUGAAGUCGUAACA